UACAGAGGGUGCGAGCGUUGUCCGGAAUCACUGGGCGUAAAGCGCGCGCAGGCGGUCCUUUAAGUCUGAUGUGAAAGCCCACGGCUCAACCGUGGAGGGUCAUUGGAAACUGGGGGACUUGAGUACAGAAGAGAAGAGUGGAAUUCCACGUGUAGCGGUGAAAUGCGUAGAGAUGUGGAGGAACACCAGUGGCGAAGGCGACUCUUUGGUCUGUAACUGACGCUGAGGCGCGAAAGCGUGGGGAGCAAACAGG
rnacentral:rRNA from 1 species